UCUUCUAUUAUCUGUUGCAAAUAUCUUAAUUGAGAUAAUAUUGUGAGAUUGUUGAAGUGUGUAUCAUUGCAUACCUAGAUUAUUUGUUAUCUUGUCUUUGAUACAACUAUGUGCUUAAACUGUUGUUCAAAUCUGUGAUAUGCUACAUUAUGCAUCUGAUUUGAUUUUAUUACUCAUGCAUAAUGGCAGGGGGAGUAUCACUAACGCUUCUUUCCUAACCACCUCCUUCAUCACAGGAUUUAGCCUCCUUUGUGGUUGAGCCACUGGUUUAUAAUCAUUCUCAAUGAAUAUUCUAUGCAUGC
rnacentral:lncRNA from 1 species